rfam:Salmo salar isolate Sally breed double haploid chromosome ssa12, whole genome shotgun sequence.
CAAUAAAAUAAAUGAAAGUCGCUCUGGAUAAGAGCGUCUGCUAAAUGACUGUAC